rnacentral:rRNA from 1 species
GCCAGACUCCUACGGGAGGCAGCAGUGAGGAAUAUUGGUCAAUGGCCGAGAGGCUGAACCAGCCAAGUCGCGUGAGGGAAGACGGCCCUACGGGUUGUAAAACUCUUUUGUCGGGGAGCAAAGCGAGUCACGUGUGACUCAUUGAGAGUACCCGAAGAAAAAGCAUCGGCUAACUCCGUGCCAGCAGCCGCGGUAAUACGGAGGAUGCGAGCGUUAUCCGGAUUUAUUGGGUUUAAAGGGUGCGCAGGCGGAGGUGCAAGUCAGCGGUAAAAUUGCGGGGCUCAACCCCGUACUGCCGUUGAAACUGCAUCCCUUGAGUGCGCGAGAAGUAUGCGGAAUGCGUGGUGUAGCGGUGAAAUGCAUAGAUAUCGCGCAGAACUCCGAUUGCGAAGGCAGCAUACCGGCGCGCAACUGACGCUCAUGCACGAAAGCGUGGGUAUCGAACAGGAUUAGAUCCCCGAGUA